AUUGAUGGAUUAGGUUACCUUACUAAUCGAAGGAAUCAUUGAUCUCAACGUCAUGAACCGAUCAUUCAGUUUCUCACGGCGUUUCCUCUCGGACAAGGCGUGGUUCGCGGUUUCAUCUCCAACCUUAUAACCGCUAUCUUCGGACGAUGAUGACCUCCUCCACCGCGUGAAACUCGACCGCUUGUCGAAGUUAUGAAACUGCGGUCCAAGAAUUAGCUGAUGUGUUGUUUUGAAAAUCGUCGAGAUCACGCCUUGAAACUCUCCCAGUUGCUCCAACAAACGUCUGAGAAACGCAGUCGCUGGAAUUAAGCGGUUGGUGAAGGCAGUUACUGAGUUCUUCACCCACAAACUGCCAGCUUUGUACCUGAGAUGCACCACCACCGUUGAUGAACGAAUCAUGAUCAUCUGGUUCUUGCUCAUACACGCUUGUAGAAGUUGUCGGAAAAGCUUCAGUUCCGAACACUGGGAUGUAUUUAUCGUUGCUUAAAGGUUCGAAAAUUUCUUGAUAAUCGGAUCUCGCUGAUAAAGUUCCAUGAGGAGCUUCAAGGAACAAUGUCUUCACGCAUUGUAUCACGUUUAAGUUCUCUGCAACCUAAAAUAAUUUAACAAAAAAAGACAAUAAAUUAGCCCUUUUAACUUUCAUUAUUCACUAUUAAACACUGGGAAUGUACAGCUUUAUGACAAUAUUGAUUAGAAAUGUCGGAGAAAUUAAACCUUUUGUCAGAUGGGACUUUUUUCUGUCCUAUUUUUAUUUAUCUAAUCAAUGUAAAUUAUAAAUAUGUUGUUUAAUAUACAUGCUAGAAAUACCUUUACCUUUU